CCUACGGGAGGCAGCAGUGGGGAAUAUUGCGCAAUGGGCGAACGCCUGACGCAGCGACGCCGCGUGAGGGAUGAAGGUCUUCGGAUCGUAAACCUCUGUCAGCAGGGAAGAACGGUCACUGUGCUAAUCAGCAGUUGAUUGACGGUACCUGCAAAGGAAGCACCGGCUAACUCCGUGCCAGCAGCCGCGGUAAUACGGAGGGUGCGAGCGUUAAUCGGAAUUACUGUGAGUAAAGCGCUCGUGGGCGGUAUGACAAGUCAAGGGUGAAAUCCCCGCGCUCAACGUGGGAACUGCCUUUGAAACUGGCAGACUGGAGUGUGUGAGAGGAUAGUGGAAUUCCAGGUGUAGGAGUGAAAUCCGUAGAUAUCUGGAGGAACAUCAGUGGCGAAGGCGACUAUCUGGCACAUAACUGACGCUGAGGAGCGAAAGCGUGGGUAGCAAACAGGAUUAGAUACCCUUGUAGUC
rnacentral:rRNA from 1 species